GUUUGAGACAUGGCUCCAGAUUGAACGCUGGCGGGAUGGGCUUUACACAUGCAAGUCGAACGGCAGCACGGACUUCGGUCUGGUGGCGAGUGGCGAACGGGUGAGUAAUGCUUAUCGGAACGAUGCCUAGUAGCGGGGAUCUUCUGCGAAAGCGUAGCGCGCCGCAUACGCCCUUCGGGGGAAAGCGGGGACCUUCGGGCCUCGCACUAUUAGAGCAGCCGAUAUCGGAUUAGCUGGAUUGGUGGGGUAACGGCUCGCAAGGCGACCUUGAUCCGUAGCUGGUUUGAGAGGACGACCAGCCACACUGGGACUGAGACACGGCCCAGACUCCUACGGGAGGCAGCAGUGGGGUUUGGACAAUGGAAACCUGAUCCAGCCAUCCCGCGUGUGCGAUGAAGGCCUUCGGGUUGUAAAGCACUUUUGGCAGGAAAGAAACGGCACGGGAUAAUACCCCGUGCAACUGACAGUACCUGCAGAAUAAGCACCGGCUAACUACGUGCCAGCAGCCGCGGUAAUACGUAGGGUGCAAGCGUUAAUCGGAAUUACUGGGCGUAAAGCGUGCGCAGGCGGUUCGGAAGAAAGAUGUGAAAUCCCAGAGCUUAACUUUGGAACUGCAUUUUUAACUACCGAGCUAGAGUGUGUCAGAGGGAGGUGGAAUUCCGCGUGUAGCAGUGAAAUGCGUAGAUAUGCGGAGGAGAGGAACACCGAUGGCGAAGGCAACCUCUGGGAUAACGCUGACGCUCAUGCACGAAAGCGUGGGGAGCAAACAGGAUUAGAUACCUGGUAGUCCACGCCCUAAACGAUGUCAACUAGCUGUUGGGGCCUUCGGGCCUUGGUAGCGCAGCUAACGCGUGAAGUUGACCGCCUGGGGAAGUACGGUCACAAGAUUAAAACUCAAAGGAAUUGACAGAGGACACACAAGCGAAGUGAGUUGAUGUGGAUUAAUUCGAUGCAACGCGAAAAACCUUACCGCCGGCAUGUCUGGAAUCCCGAAGAGAUUUGGGAGUGCUCGCAAGAGAACCGGAACACAGGUGCUGCAUGGCUGUCGUCGGUUCGUGUCGUGAGAUGUUGGGUUAAGUCCCGCAACGAGCGCAACCCUUGUCAUUAGUUGCUACGAAAGGGCACUCUAAUGAGACUGCCGACAAACCGGAGGAAGGUGGGGACGUCCGUCCUCAUGGCCCUUAUGGGUAGGGCUUCACACGUCAUACAAUGGUCGGGACAGAGGGUCGCCAACCCGCGAGGGCCAAUCCCAGAAACCCGAUCGUAGUCCGGAUCGCAGUCUGCAACUCGACUGCGUGAAGUCGGAAUCGCUAGUAAUCGCGGAUCAGCAUGUCGCGGUGAAUACGUUCCCGGGUCUUGUACACACCGCCCGUCACACCAUGGGAGUGGGUUUACCAGAAGUAGUUAGCCUAACCGUAGGAGGCGAUUACCACGGUAGGAUUCAUGACUGGGGUGAAGUCAUGCACAAGGUAG
rnacentral:rRNA from 1 species